AUUUUUCUAGAAACUCAGUGAACAGUUUUAACAUUUUCAUCCUGCUCAGGUUUCGAAGAUGUUCUCCUCCCCCAUGUCUCUUGUUGGGGCAUUGUCCUGUUUCUUAAUCCUGCCUUCUCUUCUGCAGGCGACGCCUCUCACAAAGCUUGCUGAUGAAGCUAACAAAUCAGGUCAGUCUUUAAGUAUCGACUCAUUUGAAGCGCUUAACUUCCUGGCGCGUUCUCGCCGUUCAGCUGAGCCAAAAUGGUACCGCAAGGAUCCAGACUUCCAAUCCUACUAUGGAUACUACAGCAGCAUUGGACAUG